AGCAAGCUUAGCCAAAGGAGAGCUUGUCCACUCCCUCUGGGGGCGCAGCUGAAAACGGCUCUCCACAAGUCUCCAUGGGAUGUAGAGGCAGGAUUGGCGAGACCAUUUUAGGAGAAGUUGGGAUAGCUUGAGGGUUUGAGUUUUAAGUCUUAUUUUUUUAAGUCUGCUGAGAAGUAGCUCAGGAUUGGGAGGAAGUUCCGAAGAGCCAUGGCUACAAACAGCUUGCAGGGCCCUGAAGUGAGAAAGGCUCAUGCCAAGAGACCCCAACAACUCCUGUUUUCUCUGGCACAUCCACAUGACAUAUUGGAAGUUCUAAGAAUAGUAGAGGAAAGCCUUGAGGUGGACUCAAAGCUGAGCAACAAAUGUGAGGGCCACAGAGUGGAAAUCACUUCAAUCAGGAGCAAGUGACACUCAGUUUAGCUUAUACAAUGAGGACUUCAAUUAUUCUCUAGGCGAGGUCCUGGAUCACAGAGCAGAGCUUGACCAUCUCAGGACCUCUUGAAGUAUCUACCUCCCAGAUAAAGAUACAUCCCCAGUAUCUCCCCAGCUGCAGAACCCAUGGGCUGGGUCUCUAUGCUCUUCAACUCUUCUCUGGAUGUUUCACGAGUCGGCAUGGAUACCAGAAGGAGAAACAAGCCAUCUGAGUAUGUACAGGACAAAGGUUAUGCAAGGCCAUCAUGGCUACAAACCAUCUGCCCGCAACCAGGAAUAAAGGCCACAGAAAGAACUAAAUCUUCUAACCCUGAGAUUGUGACUCUCAUCUUCCGCAGCUGUGAGAAAUAAAUUUCAGUUGUGGAAAUAAACCA